GACGAAACGCUGGCGGGCGUGCAUAAUACAUGCAAGUCGAGCGAAAGUUUUUUCUGGUGCUUGCACUAGAAAAACUUAGCGGCGAACGGGUGAGUAACACGUAAAGAAACCUGCCUCAUAGACGGGGACAACUAUUGGAAACGAUAGCUAAUACCGGAUAACAGCAUAAAUCGCAUGAUAUAUGUUUAAAAGUUGGUUUCGGCUAACACUAUGAGAUGGCUUUGCGGUGCAUUAGCUAGUUGGUGGGGUAAAGGCCUACCAAGGCGACGAUGCAUAGCCGACCUGAGAGGGUGAUCGGCCACACUGGGACUGAGACACGGCCCAGACUCCUACGGGAGGCAGCAGUAGGGAAUCUUCCGCAAUGGGCGAAAGCCUGACGGAGCAACGUCGCGUGAGUGAAGAAGGAUUUCGGUUCGUAAAGCUCUGUUGUUAGGGAAGAAUGAUUGUAUAGUAACUAUAUACAGUAGAGACGGUACCUAACCAGAAAGCCACGGCUAACUACGUGCCAGCAGCCGCGGUAAUACGUAGGUGGCAAGCGUUGUCCGGAAUUAUUGGGCGUAAAGCGCGCGCAGGUGGUUUAAUAAGUCUGAUGUGAAAGCCCACGGCUCAACCGUGGAGGGUCAUUGGAAACUGUUAAACUUGAGUGCAGGAGAGAAAAGUGGAAUUCCUAGUGUAGCGGUGAAAUGCGUAGAGAUUAGGAGGAACACCAGUGGCGAAGGCGGCUUUUUGGCCUGUAACUGACACUGAGGCGCGAAAGCGUGGGGAGCAAACAGG
rnacentral:rRNA from 1 species